GUGGAUUGAAAGGAAGUCAUUUAACAUGAUUAGAAUGUGUUGUAGUGGCUUCUGUAUCAGAAAAUGUCUGAAUAUCUUGACCUUGCUGUGCAUGGAAUAAUGGGAAAGUAUUAUUAGGUCUAGUCCAAGCAUAUGGCUUUUAGAAAAUGCCAAAACUGGGUUUACUUAUAUGGUUGGCAAAAUCAUUUGUACAUCUCUGUCCAUAUUUGCCACCAUUUUGGGGUCUAUAAUAAAUGAUUAAAUUGUAAGUUUUGCCCACUUUUCGCUUUGGUAAUUCAUCUAUUUGAAUUAUACUAAUUGUCUCAUAUCUGCCUGUUUCUUUGGUUCCCUAAUAUUUAAAUAUACCCUUUUGUUGGAUGUGCUGUGUGGUUCUUGUGAUUGUUUAACAAUGCAUAUAGGUAAGAUUUAUGCUGUUUAACCAUGAUGUCUUUGCAAUGCUUUGUUUUCUGGUGCUGU
rnacentral:misc_RNA from 1 species